CAGGUCCUCCCACCCGUGUGUCCACCGAUGCACAGCACUCACCUGUCCCCUGCAGUGGUCCUCUGGGGACCAUUGCGUCCCUCUCCUGGAGCCGUUUCCCCAGCAGGCCGGGAAGUGAGGACCCUGCGAGCAGCCUGCGUGCAGCUUCUACUGGAGUCUGUGAGGUUGGACACACAAAGUGGAUUCAUGUCCUGAGGACAUCAGUUCAUAGGGUUUGCAUGCCUGUCACCUCCCUAACGAGUCCUUUUCUUUUUGCUGUGUUUUGUCUGUCAUGUCAUCCUUGGUGCUUGGUGCAGUGUGCUGCUCUUGUCCCAGCUGGACCAGAGGCCGAUGCAAGAGGAUCAACUCUGCUGCCCUUGAGUUUGAGGCCAGCCUGUGCAGCACAGCAAGACCCGCCCUAAAAUGGAUCAUGGAUGUGUUAACAUUUGUCAGAAGAAUUUGGAUCAUCUCAUCUUGGAAGAUGGCAGAGAGCAACCCACCCGCCUUCCUGGUAAGCAGCUAUUGCGCAAGCAAGCUUGGGCCGAGCCAGGAAGAGAACAAGUCAGUGUCCCCCAUGAGCCUGCAUUGUCUGAGAAUGAAACAUCCCACUCGCCCCCCUCCUUUAGCAACUCGGAGCCAGAGGCCUGAGCAGCCCUUGAGAGGAUGACCACAUGCAAUAUAGCAAACACGGGGGAUUUCCUUCUGUCUUCCCUUUGAAGGCAAAUAGUUUUCACUGUUUUGCUUUGUUCUGAUUAACUGUUUUGCUCUAUUCUGUUUUGAUAGGUUUUAUAAUGUUCUAUUUUUGAUUUGAUUUUGCUGUACCUGACUGAAUGGACAACUAUUGUGAAGAUAAUGAGAUAUAUUAUGGUUCCUAUUACCGUUAUCCUGGUAACCUGCUG
rnacentral:lncRNA from 1 species